GUGAUUGUGAGCCGCUGUACUGAGCGUGUCUUUUGACAGCACCAGUGGCAAACUCUUAGAACAAAGCUUGCAACUUGGAGGGGUAAUAUUGCAAACGUAAUCAGCACUAUUCAAACGAACAAGGUAACUGAAGAAGCGUCACAAGGAGUGCAAGGUUUAAUGACUCGCUAGGCUGCUUUUUUAUGUCGGAUUUUUGAUGGCCCCUGUUAUUUAGAGAUAGGUCAGACUAUCAUGUGCUGCUGAAGUAUCAUACUGAAAUUUUUAUUUAUUGAACAUUAAUUUUAGUGUAUUGGAAAAUUUUGACAGAAUGAGUCAAUCAUAUUUUGUUUAUCAUGCCUACCUUAACUGGUUAUGUUGUUUAAACUAGCAGAACCUGAUAUGGGUCCAAA